rnacentral:miRNA from 1 species
AACUGCAGCGUGUGCGUGUGCGUGUGUGUGCAUGUGCAUGUGUGCGUGUGUGUGUGUGCGCGUGUGCAUGUGCGUGUGUGCAUGUGCGUGUGUGUGCAUGUGUGUGUGCAUGCG